rnacentral:rRNA from 1 species
GACGAACGCUGGCGGCGUGCCUAAUACAUGCAAGUAGAACGCUGAAGGAGGAGCUUGCUUCUCUGGAUGAGUUGCGAACGGGUGAGUAACGCGUAGGUAUCCUGCCUGGUAGCGGGGGAUAACUAUUGGAAACGAUAGCUAAUACCGCAUAAGAGUAGAUGUUGCAUGACAUUUGCUUAAAAGGUGCAAUUGCAUCACUACCAGAUGGACCUGCGUUGUAUUAGCUAGUUGGUGGGGUAACGGCUCACCAAGGCGACGAUACAUAGCCGACCUGAGAGGGUGAUCGGCCACACUGGGACUGAGACACGGCCCAGACUCCUACGGGAGGCAGCAGUAGGGAAUCUUCGGCAAUGGACGGAAGUCUGACCGAGCAACGCCGCGUGAGUGAAGAAGGUUUUCGGAUCGUAAAGCUCUGUUGUAAGAGAAGAACGAGUGUGAGAGUGGAAAGUUCACACUGUGACGGUAUCUUACCAGAAAGGGACGGCUAACUACGUG